GAUUAACGCUAGCGGCAGGCAUAAUACAUGCAAGUUGAACGGCAGCACAGGUAGCAAUACUGGGUGGCGAGUGGCGCACGGGUGCGUAACACGUAUGCAACCUACCCUAUACAGGCGAAUAACCUUUAGAAAUGAGGGCUAAUACGCCGUAGUAUUACAGAUGGGCAUCUAUUUGUAAUUAAAGAUUUAUCGGUAUAGGAUGGGCAUGCGUCCCAUUAGUUAGUUGGUAAGGUAACGGCUUACCAAGACGAUGAUGGGUAGGGGAUCUGAGAGGACUUACCCCCACACGGGUACUGAGACACGGACCAGACUCCUACGGCAGGCAGCAGUAGGGAAUAUUGGGCAAUGGCCGCGAGGCUGACCCAGCCAUGCCGCGUGCAGGAAGACGGCCUUAUGGGUUGUAAACUGCUUUUAUACGGGAAUAAUAGAGUGUACGCGUACAUUUAUGCAAGUAUCGUAUGAAUAACAUCGGCUAACUCCGUG
rnacentral:rRNA from 1 species